GGAUCUGCAUCAGAUGCAAGGGUUUUGCAAGAUGCACUAGAACAUGGAUUCAAUGUACCGCCUGGAAAAUUUUAUCUUGUAGAUGCGGGUUAUGCAAAUACACCCCAAUUCAUUGCUCCAUACGGAGGAACUAGAUAUCAUUUACAAGAACAAGGAAGAGUUCAGCAAAGGCCACAAUGCUACAAGGAGUUAUUUAACCUUCGACAUGCUCAACUACGAAAUCAUGUCGAAAGAAUUAUUGGCAUACUAAAAGCAAGGUAUCCCAUACUAAAGGCAGCUACAAUGUUUGAUAUUGACACACAAGUUGAUACAGUUGUAGCUUGUUAUGUUUUGCACAAUUUCAUAAUACUACACAAUGGAGAUAUGACAUUGCCUGACAGAGCUACAAUGGAUAUUAAUGAAAGAAAUAUGCAGGAUGUACCAGAUGGAGAUGCCAAAUACAAAAAAGAUGUGAUGAUAUUUAACAACUUGAGACAAGCUGGAAAUGAGAUGCGAGAUGCAAUGGCAAUGCAAAUGUGGGCAGAUUAC
rnacentral:rRNA from 1 species